GUCGCAGAGUUAGUCAGAUAAUUCUUCAGAAGAAUAGAAGGUUUCUUUACUCGUUGGCCGCGGCCCAGAACUUCAAGAAGUCCUGGCGAUGGCACUGUCUCAGUUUGAGCCGGCGACGUAGGUGGUGAUAGAGGAGGAGAUUCUGAUCGCGCAGGUAAUGAAAGAGGUGUAGAUGUAGGAGCAGCUUGGUCUGUACCGGCAGAAGUCCCAGAGGGAGAAGACACUACAAGAAAACAAAGAGGUUCCCGACAGAAUUCCCCACGGAAAAAAAUC
rnacentral:lncRNA from 1 species